AACGCGAAGAACCUUACCCAGGCUCGAAAUGUAAGGGGCGCUAUCAGAGAUGGUAGCUUCCGUAAGGACUCUUAUAUAGGUGCUGCAUGGCUGUCGUCAGCUCGUGCCGUGAGGUGUUUGGUUAAGUCCAGCAACGAGCGCAACCCUUAUCGUUAGUUGCCAGCGCGUAAUGGCGGGUACUCUAGCGAGACUGCCUAGGUUAACUAGGAGGAAGGUGAGGAUGACGUCAAGUCCGCAUGGCCUUUAUGUCUGGGGCUACACACGUGCUACAAUGGUCGGUACAGAAGGCUGCAAGACCGCAAGGUGGAGCAAAUCCGUAAAGCCGAUCUCAGUUCAGAUUGUAGUCUGCAACUCGACUACAUGAAGUUGGAAUUGCUAGUAAUGACGUGUCAGCAACAACGUCGUGAAUACGUUCCCGGGCCUUGUACACACCGACUGUAC
rnacentral:rRNA from 1 species